GAUGAAUGAUGGAGGAGGGAAGAAUACAUGCAAGUCGAGCGAACAGACGAGGAGCUUGCUCCUCUGACGUUAGCGGCGGACGGGUGAGUAACACGUGGAUAACCUACCUAUAAGACUGGGAUAACUUCGGGAAACCGGAGCUAAUACCGGAUAAUAUAUUGAACCGCAUGGUUCAAUAGUGAAAGACGGUUUUGCUGUCACUUAUAGAUGGAUCCGCGCCGCAUUAGCUAGUUGGUAAGGUAACGGCUUACCAAGGCAACGAUGCGUAGCCGACCUGAGAGGGUGAUCGGCCACACUGGAACUGAGACACGGUCCAGACUCCUACGGGAGGCAGCAGUAGGGAAUCUUCCGCAAUGGGCGAAAGCUUGACGGAGCAACGCCGCGUGAGUGAUGAAGGUCUUCGGAUCGUAAAACUCUGUUAUUAGGGAAGAACAAAUGUGUAAGUAACUAUGCACGUCUUGACGGUACCUAAUCAGAAAGCCACGGCUAACUACGUG
rnacentral:rRNA from 1 species